AGGCAGGUAGUUCAACUGGCUAGAACGUCCGACCGAUAAUCGGAAGGUUGCGGGUUCGAUCCCCGCUCUGCCUA
rnacentral:tRNA from 1 species